rnacentral:tRNA from 1 species
GGAGGAUUGGCCGAGAGGUAAGGCACCGGCUUGCUAAGCCGCGGUCGGGGGUCACCCCCGCGCACGUUCGAUCCGUGCAUCCUCCG